rnacentral:rRNA from 1 species
CCUACGGGAGGCAGCAGUGAGGAAUAUUGGUCAAUGGACGAGAGUCUGAACCAGCCAAGUAGCGUGAAGGAUGACUGCCCUAUGGGUUGUAAACUUCUUUUAUAAAGGAAUAAAACGAGGCACGUGUGCCUUUUUGCAUGUACUUUAUGAAUAAGGAUCGGCUAACUCCGUGCCAGCAGCCGCGGUAAUACGGAGGAUCCGAGCGUUAUCCGGAUUGAUUGGGUUUAAAGGGAGCGUAGAUGGGUUGUUAAGUCAGUUGUGAAAGUUUGCGGCUCAACCGUAAAAUUGCAAUUGAUACUGGCAGUCUUGAGUACAGUUGAGGUAGGCGGAAUUCGUGGGGUAGCGGUGAAAUGCUUAGAUAUCACGAAGAACUCCGAUUGCGAAGGCAGCUUACUAAACUGCCACUGACAUUGAUGCUCGAAAGUGUGGGUAUCAAACAGGAUUAGAUACCCUUGUAGUC